CCUACGGGAGGCAGCAGUGAGGAAUAUUGGUCAAUGGACGAGAGUCUGAACCAGCCAAGUAGCGUGAAGGAUGACUGCCCUAUGGGUUGUAAACUUCUUUUAUAUGGGAAUAAAAUGUUCCACGUGUGGGAUUUUGUAUGGACCAUAUGAAUAAGGAUAGGCUAACUCCGUGCCAGCAGCCGCGGUAAUACGGAGGAACCGAGCGUUAUCCGGAUUUAGUGGGUUUAAAGGGGGCGUAGGUGGAUUGUUAAGUUAGUUGUGAAAGUUUGCGGCUCAAACGUAAAAUUGCAGUUGAAACUGGCAGUCUUGAGUACAGUAGAGUUGGGCGGAAGUCGUGGUGGAGCGGUGAAAUGCUUAGAUAUCACGAAGAACUCCGAUUGCGAAGGCAGUUCACUGGACUGCAACUGACACUGAGGCUCGAAAGUGUGGGUAUCAAACAGGAUUAGAUACCCCGGUAGUC
rnacentral:rRNA from 1 species